rnacentral:rRNA from 1 species
GAUGAACGCUGGCGGCGUGCCUAAUACAUGCAAGUCGAGCGGUAAGGCUUUACACAGUUUGUUUAAACGGCAAAGACAGGUCGCGAUUACGAAGUAAUCGUUUCUUAUACGAAGAAUAAACGCUUCGGUCUAAACCACUCUUUAUCUGGCUAGAUAAACGAGUUUGAACAAAGUGUGUAGAGUACACGAGCGGCGGACGGCUGAGUAAUGCAUUGGAACGUACCCCAAACCUGAGGGAUAAUCCACCGAAAGGUGGACUAAUACCGCAUGUGCCAUUCGUGGUAAAGCUACGGCGGUUUGGGAGCGGCCAAUGUUCGAUUAGCUAGUUGGUGAGGUAAUAGCUCACCAAGGCUACGAUCGAUAGCGGGUCUGAGAGGAUGGAUCCGCCAGACUGGAACUGAGACACGGUCCAGACUCCUACGGGAGGCGAGCAGUA